UCAAGGGGAAAGUCUCCU
rnacentral:misc_RNA from 1 species